GCGGAAGUGGCGGAACUGGCAGACGCGCUAGAUUCAGGGUCUAGUGGGAAUUCCUCUCGUGGGGGUUCAAAUCCCCCCUUCCGCACCA
rnacentral:tRNA from 1 species